UCCUAACCGUGCGAAGGUAGCGUAAUCACUUGUUCUUUAAAUGAGGACUAGUAUGAACGGCUUCACGAAGGCUAUACUGUCUCCUCUCCCUAAUCAAUGAAACUAAUCUCCUCGUGAAGAAGCGAGAAUUAAUCUAUAAGACGAGAAGACCCUAUGGAGCUUUAAACAACUGAAAUACUUGCUUCUUUUACCCACUUCCCGAAAAUAAAAUAUAAUCUAGCACCUUUAUUUCUAGUUUUAGGUUGGGGUGACCACGGAGCAAAAAAUAACCUCCACGCUGAAAGAAACUACUUUUUCUUAGCAAAAAGCUACAGCUUCAUGCAUCAACAAAUUGACUUCUAUUGACCCAAUAAUUUGAUCAACGAACCAAGKUACCCUAGGGAUAACAGCGCAAUCUAUUUCAAGAGCUCAUAUCGACAAUAGGUUUACGACUCGAUGUUGAUCAGGG
rnacentral:rRNA from 1 species